rnacentral:rRNA from 1 species
GACGAACGCUGGCGGCGUGCUUAACACAUGCGAGUCGAACGGAAAGGCCCUGCUUUUGUGGGGUGCUCGAGUGGCGAACGGGUGAGUAACACGUGAGUAACCUGCACUUGACUUUGGGAUAACUUCAGGAAACUGGGGCUAAUACCGGAUAGGAGCUCCUGCUGCAUGGUGGGGGUUGGAAAGUUUCGGCGGUUGGGGAUGGACUCGCGGCUUAUCAGCUUGUUGGUGGGGUAGUGGCUUACCAAGGCUUUGACGGGUAGCCGGCCUGAGAGGGUGACCGGCCACAUUGGGACUGAGAUACGGCCCAGACUCCUACGGGAGGCAGCAGUGGGGAAUAUUGCACAAUGGGCGGAAGCCUGAUGCAGCAACGCCGCGUGCGGGAUGACGGCCUUCGGGUUGUAAACCGCUUUCGCCUGUGACGAAGCGUGAGUGACGGUAAUGGGUAAAGAAGCACCGGCUAACUACGUG